rnacentral:rRNA from 1 species
GUUUCAGCCGCCGCGGUAAUACAGAGGGUGCAAGCGUUAUCCGGAAUCAUUGGGCGUAAAGGGUUUGUAGGUGGUUUGUUAAGUUGGGUGUUAAAUUUUGCAGCUCAACUGCAAAAUUGUGCUCAAAACUGGCAAACUAGAGUUUUGCAGGGGUACGUGGAAUUCUGUGUGUAGGGGUAAAAUCCGUAGAUACACAGAGGAACACCAAAAGCGAAAGCAGCGUACUGGGCAACAACUGACACUUAAAAACGAAAGCGUGGGGAGCAAACGGGAUUAGAUACCCCUGUAGUCC